GAACGCUGGCGGCGUGCUUAACACAUGCAAGUCGAACGAGGAUUUAACGGAAUACGAUUCGUCAAAUGAAAUUAAAUCCGAGUGGCGGACGGGUGAGUAACGCGUGGAUAACCUGCCUCACACAGGGGGACAACAGUUGGAAACGGCUGCUAAUACCGCAUAACAUGAGCUGACCGCAUGGUUGACUCAUCAAAGAUUUUAUCGGUAUGGGAUGGGGAUGCGUCUGAUUAGCUUGUUGGCGGGUAACGGCCCACCAAGGCGACGAUCAGUAGGGGUUCUGAGAGGAAGGUCCCCCACAUUGGAACUGAGACACGGUCCAAACUCCUACGGGAGGCAGCAGUGAGGAAUAUUGGUCAAUGGGCGAGAGCCUGAACCAGCCAAGUAGCGUGCAGGAUGACGGCCCUAUGGGUUGUAAACUGCUUUUAUAAGGGAAUAAAGUGAGUCUCGUGAGACUUUUUGCAUGUACCUUAUGAAUAAGGACCGGCUAAUUCCGUG
rnacentral:rRNA from 1 species